rnacentral:tRNA from 1 species
UCCCUGGUGGUUUAGUGGUUAAGAUUCGGCCCUCUCACUGCCAAGGCCCAGGUUCGUUUCCCAGUCAGGGAA